rnacentral:rRNA from 1 species
CCUACGGGCCGCAGCAGUAGGGAAUCUUCGGCAAUGGACGAAAGUCUGACCGAGCAAUGCCGCGUGAGUGAAGAAGGUUUUCGGAUCGUAAAACUCUGUUGUUAGAGAAGAACAAGGACGUUAGUAACUGAACGUCCCCUGACGGUAUCUAACCAGAAAGCCACGGCUAACUACGUGCCAGCAGCCGCGGUAAUACGUAGGUGGCAAGCGUUGUCCGGAUUUAUUGGGCGUAAAGCGAGCGCAGGCGGUUUCUUAAGUCUGAUGUGAAAGCCCCCGGCUUAACCGGGGAGGGUCUUUGGAAACUGGGAGACUUGAGUGCAGAAGAGGAGAGUGGAAUUCCAUGUGUAGCGGUGAAAUGCGUAGAUAUAUGGAGGAACACCAGUGGCGAAGGCGGCUCUCUGGUCUGUAACUGACGCUGAGGCUCGAAAGCGUGGGGAGCAAACAGGAUUAGAUACCCGUGUAGUC